AACACCGGCUUAUUAUUGCAUAAAGAGUAUUAACAAGAUAUUCGUGCGUAUCUAACCUUAAUGCGUAAGCGGGAAAAAUCCUGACGACUAUAUGAAGGGAGAGAGAGUGAGAACGUGUUGGUAGAAUACAUCGGAGUGACGUACGAAACAGAAGGGCGAGGGAGACGGGGAGAGUCUUCAGAGCGCGAACACGUCGAGGGAACUCGCAGAACGGCCGUGCUCGUGACUUCACUCGAACCCGCCAUUUUUCAUCACACGGCGUAGCUGCAUCAUCAUUUUCUGAUACGAAGCGUAUACCGACCUAUCGCGCCGACCGGCACCUCCUCCGGCGACUCAUCCGCGGAAACGCAGUCAUUCUCCUCUCACAUCUAUCGCGACGAUAACGAGAAGGCGCACUCAAGCUCUGAUAUUGUAAACGAUGUAUCAAGAUUGAGAUUUGCAUUUCGUUCAAUUAAUAACUCAU